GUUCUUUCUUUUAUUAAUGUAUUUGUCUCACAUUGAUUUGCAGAUGUUGAACCAACCUUGCAGCCCAGGAAUAAAUCCCACUUGGUCAUGGUGAAUAAUCCUUUUAAUGAACUGUUGGAUCCCAUUGGCUAGUAUUUUGCAAAGUGAAAGAAAGAAUAACAUACAGCUAUAUAUACAUCAACAUGGAUAGAUCUGAUAGAUAUAAUGUUGGCCAAAAGAAGACAGACAAAAGUACUUAUUGAAUGAUCUCAUUUAUAUCAAGGUCAAGAACAAUCGAAGCUCAUUUGUGGUGACAGGUGAGAACAAGCAGUUAACCUUU
rnacentral:lncRNA from 1 species